rnacentral:rRNA from 1 species
AGUGAACGCUGGCGGUAGGCCUAACACAUGCAAGUCGAACGGCAGCACAGUAAGAGCUUGCUCUUACGGGUGGCGAGUGGCGGACGGGUGAGGAAUACAUCGGCAUCUACUUUUUCGUGGGGGAUAACGUAGGGAAACUUACGCUAAUACCGCAUACGACCUACGGGUGAAAGCAGGGGAUCUUCGGACCUUGCGCGAUUGAAUGAGCCGAUGUCGGAUUAGCUAGUUGGCGGGGUAAAGGCCCACCAAGGCGACGAUCUGUAGCUGGUCUGAGAGGAGGAUCAGCCACACGGUGGCUCAGAUACGCGGCAGACUCCUACGCGAGGCACCGGAGUGGAAUAUUGGGGAAGGGGCGCAGGCGUGUGCCACACAUACCGCGUGAGUGUGGAGGACCUCCGCGGUGUGAAGCACUCUUGUUGUGAAAAAGAAGAACCGUGUUAUUACCCCGCUAUGCUGACGGUACCCAAAGAGUAAGCACCGGCUAACUACGUG